UGGGGAAUAUUGCACAAUGGGCGCAAGCCUGAUGCAGCAACGCCGCGUGAGGGACGACGGCCUUCGGGUUGUAAACCUCUUUUAGUAGGGAAGAAGCGAAAGUGACGGUACCUGCAGAAAAAGCACCGGCUAACUACGUGCCAGCAGCCGCGGUAAUACGUAGGGUGCAAGCGUUGUCCGGAAUUAUUGGGCGUAAAGAGCUCGUAGGCGGUUUGUCGCGUCUGCUGUGAAAACCCGAGGCUCAACCUCGGGCCUGCAGUGGGUACGGGCAGACUAGAGUGCGGUAGGGGAGAAUGGAAUUCCUGGUGUAGCGGUGGAAUGCGCAGAUAUCAGGAGGAACACAGAUGGCGAAGGCAGUUCUCUGGGCCGUAACUGACGCUGAGGAGCGAAAGCGUGGGGAGCGAACAGGAUUAGAUACCCUGGUAGUCCACGCCGUAAACGUUGGGCGCUAGAUGUGGGGACCAUUCCACGGUUUCCGUGUCGCAGCUAACGCAUUAAGCGCCCCGCCUGGGGAGUACGGCCGCAA
rnacentral:rRNA from 1 species